rnacentral:rRNA from 1 species
UGUAAGCGUAUACCAAAGUUGUUGCAGUUAAAACGCUCGUAGUCGGAAUUUGGCAGUUCCGGAAGUGUGCACAUCGUGUGCGCACUUUGCGGGGACUGCUUUUGUGGUCUUGCGUAGGAUGAGGCACUUUCAUUAGUGAACGUCCUCACGCAACCACUCUUUACUGUGAGAAAAUCAGAGUGCUCAAAGCAGGCAUUUGCCGUGAAUGUAUUAGCAUGGAAUAAUAGAAUAGGACUCGGUUCUAUUUUGUUGGUUUGUUGGGACUGAGUAAUGAUUAAGAGGGACAGUUGGGGGCAUUUGUAUUCCGGCGCUAGAGGUGAAAUUCUUAGAUUGCCGGAAGACAAACUGCUGCGAAAGCGUCUGCCAAGGAUGUUUUCAUUGA